CUACUGAGCCGGCCGCAGAAAUUGCAGCCGCUCAGCUUCUACCCCCUCCUGCCUUUCCUUCCUCUUUCCUUACUUCCUUCCCUUCCCUCGGCUUCCCGCUCUUGCCUCACUCUCAGCGGCUGCCUUCGCCCCUGUCUGCAGACAGCGCCGCUGGAUGCUCCCAGCUGGACUUCAACCCCACUCCUCUCAGUCCCUCUCCCCACUGCCUUCCAGACGCGCCUCUUCCCCGCCCCGCGCCCCUCUCUCCUCUCCCACCCCUGCCCCUCUCCGCGGCGCUCACCCUCCUCAGUCCCAGUUUCUGAAAGGACUCAGCUGAGAAAGGACAACUGGGUUCCGCUUUCCUUAACCCUACACCCUUUAGCUGGAUGCUGUCAGAGGCGAUGGAGAAACGCAAAGGCUACUAGACGCAACAAUAGAAUUACCAUAUUGUUUUUCCUGGUUUGAAAGGACCAGAUGGAAAGAAACUGGGCAAGCCAAUGAAAGUCUCUGGGGAUCAUGGGAAUUGAGUGUCUAUGAAAACCAUAUUCCAGACAAGAAUAUAGUCUAAGGUUUAUGGGACUCCCCAGUACUCUCCAUGUAGAGUCUAAUGUAGAAUCCAGGAGUGCACAGAAAAGUCACUGGAUGACACAGCAAGAGGCAACAUUUUGGAAGCAGAGGGCAACUCUCACUGGAAACCAAAUCUCCUGGCACCUUGAUCUUGGAUUUUACAGCCUCCAGAACUUUCUCACACUUCCUUUUGAAAGCUAUUAAAAAUCUAUGGCAGAAAAAUGGUCAAGGAAUAGGAACUACAACUUCAUAAAUGAGGAACCAGAAAAGGAUAGCUGGGAGGCAUUACAUAGUCAUGUGCGAGGUCAAAACUGAGUCACCACCACAACCAAGUUCCAGCUGGCAAGAAGAGGAAAAAUAACACAGAGGAGUUAUGACCAGUGUUGUAAGGAUCUGGCCUAGAAAUGGCAUGCAUCUCUUCCACUAAUAUCCUAUUGGUAAAAAUGUAGUCACAUGGGCACACCACCUAUCUGCAUGGAAGGCUGGGAAAUGUUGAUCGGUAGGGCAGCCAUAUGUGUAGGAAGGAGAAAACAGAAUUUGGUGGAUACCUAGUAGUCUCUGCCAUACCCUUGACCAGAAAUUUUUCUUCUAAAGAAUUUAAUUCUAAAAGUUAUAGACAUUCCCAAAGAUAUACCUGCAAGCAUCACAGCUUUGUGUAUAAUUGCAAAAGUUGAAAUCAACAUGAAUGCCCAAAAUAGUGAAUUAUUUAAACAGAUUAUUACCCAUAUUAUGAAGAAAUACUCUGCAACUCUUAAAAAUAAAUGUAAUGUGCCAGGCGCAAUGGGAUAUGCCUGCAGGCCCAGCUACACGGGAGGCCAAGGCAGGAGGAUCACUUGAAAUCAAGAGUUCAAGUCUAGCCUAGACAACAUAGUGAGACUUGGUCUCUAAAAAAGAAAAAAAAAAAUAAAACUGAUGUAAUGAAUAUAUAAUUACAACAAAAGAGGUCUAACACUAUAGUAGAAAAGUUUGGGGCACUCAUCCCAUUCAUAAUUAUUUUACAUUUAAAUUACUGUUCCUACUUAAGUGGUGAGCUUGGUAACCAUUUUCAUAUCAGGUGAUACUGCUGCAGUAAUCAUAGCUGUUUGAAUCAGGAAUAAUCCCAAUCACAUUUUCUCUUAAUCGUUUAUUAUACUGGGCAUUGGGGUUGCAAGAUAAUGCACAGUCCGAGCUCAAUACAUGUCUUCAUGUACCUGUAUGUAAAUCCCACUUUUAUUCUAAAAUUCUUUGAAUAUUUUGUUUCUUGGAACCCAAUGAUCCUAAGAAAAUUAUGUACUUUUACCUGAAAAUUAAAACCAAUAUUUAUAAAAAGUGUAUAUGCAGUAUGAUACCACUUUUAAAAAAAGAUAAAUUUAUAGAAAAAAGUUUAUAUGACUGACAACAAUGUCUCUGAGUGGUAGGAUUACAGUUAAUUUUUAUUUUCUUCAUUCUACUUAUCUUUAUUUUCUGAACUUUCUACAAUGAACAUGUUUUAUUUUUACUUUUGUUAAAAUAAAUAACAUUUAAUUUGACGGAAAAUUCUAAAAAUCAACAUUUGGUAACUUAAAUAUUCAUUGGCACAUGAUUCUGUGCCUGUUUCUGGGGGUCAUUCCCAUGAGAAGAGCAGGUAGAACUUAUGAGAAUAGAGCAGUCGAAAUAUUAUAGGUUUCAUAUUUUACGGCUUUAUUGAAAACAUUGAUAUAUUGAAUAUUCAUAAAUUUUAAUUUAACUUUCUUUUAUAAUCCUUAAUGUGAGGCUAAGGUAUAAGGAGAAAGGAGAUUGGUAAGGAAGUGUGAUACAUAUUGAAUCAGGUGUCAAGGUACCAUUUGUGCCUGGAUCUGACCAAUAGACCAAGGUAAAAAUCUCAAAGAAUGAGACUUGUAAUGAGAAUGCCACAAACUUGAAUACCUUAUGCACAAAACACAAACAUUGUUAUGCAUAAUGUACAUGAACCCUGAAACAAAGAUAAUGAUUUGGACCACCCAACUGAAGUGGCAUGUUAUGUUUUUGGCAUGAACAAAAGAAACAAGAGAGAAAAAAAUCAAAAUAAUUAAAAUAAAUUGUUAGAGAAAAGUUACUUUAAAAAUAGCUAUAACGCUUUGCAAUUUCAGUAACAGUUCUGCCUCUGAUGCAAUGUAAAACAUGUAUUAGACAUUCAGGCUCCACAAUAAAUUUUAAUGAGCACUACAAAUUUAGAAUAUAUAAAAAUAUCAGUAACCUAUGAAUUCAUCAACAUAACUCACUUUUCAGUUAAGUUAGGCUGAGUUGAAAUUCUACUAAGUUUUCCCAUAUUCUUGAUAAAGGCUAAAUUUGAAAUAAUUUAUUUAGAUGACUAAUUGGCAAUUUGAUAGUAGUUACAUUUUAUGUAACACUUGAUAUAAUAACCCAAAUUAAUUAGCUCAAUAUUAUCUUCUGUGGUUUAUUGAUCCAAAAGUACAUAUUUGUUAUGUAAACUUAUACUAUGUAAACUUGAAUUAGUUUUUUGCUUCCUUGAAUUAAUAAAGCCCAUUAAUGCAAAUCUAAGCCUUCAUAGACUUUUCCAAUCCUUAGUUAAAUAUUAAAAACUGAGUAUUGUAGUUAUUUGCUAGGUAUAAAAGGUGACUCAGAGUAGAGAGUAAGAUGUCAGCAAAUAGACAAUAAGAUGUCAGCAAAAGUGCCUCAAAUUUUAACUGCGUCAAGUUAAGGGCAUUGUAAAUACUGUAGUUUUAUGUAGCUUGCAACUUCUACUGAAAUGAGUUUAAUCAUGUCUUUCACAUAGCUGAAGUUUGUGUCAAGAUUUAAGCUGAUUUUCUCAUUCUUAUCAAAGUCUCACCUGGGGGUAGGGAGGGGUAGGCCUACCUCCCACCUCUAUACUAUCAUUUUAGGAACAGACAGGCAUAAAUCUGUUCAUAUGGUAGAACACAUGAUGUUAGAGUAUAUUUUGUUGAAUGCUAUGGAAUAUUAAUAUAAUUAAUUCUAAAAUAUCACCUAAAAUAUGUCAACUGAAGAUCUGACUGUACUAAAUAUGAAAAAUAAAGCAGCACAUACUUUC